rnacentral:rRNA from 1 species
AGAGUGAACGCUGGCGGCAGGCCUAACACAUGCAAGUCGAACGGCAGCACAGGGGAGCUUGCUCCCUGGGUGGCGAGUGGCGGACGGGUGAGGAAUGCGUCGGAAUCUGCCUUUUCGUGGGGGAUAACGUAGGGAAACUUACGCUAAUACCGCAUGCGACCCCGGUCGGGAGGAUCGGGGUGAAAGCGGGGGACCUUCGGGCCUCGGCGCGGAAAGAUGAGCCGACGCCGGAUUAGCUAGGUUCGGCGGGUAACGCCCACCAAGGCGACGACUCCGUAGCUGGUCUGAGAGGAUGAUCAGCCACACUGGAACUGAGACACGGUCCAGACUCCGUACGGGAGCAGCGAGGUGGGAAUAGUUAGACAAGU